rnacentral:lncRNA from 1 species
GCUCCUCCUUUGGCUUUGGUUUAGCAACUUCUUUCGGCUGUGCAUGUUUCUUGGUCGGAACAGGUGGAACGGACUCGGCUUGCUGAAUGUCGCCCAACACUUUCUUAAAGUUUGGCUGAUUGAGCAAGGUCCAAAAAUACCUCUCGACGUGUGGGAACUCUGCAGUGAAGCUCUUUAUAAGGAUUACCUUGAAUCCAUUGAACAGAAUACAUACUGUGAUAAUAUCGGCUAAUGUGACACCGUGUCCAACCAAGUAGGUGUGAGAUGCAAGAUGGGUGUUCAAAGCUGCCAAGCCUCUCUUCAGAGAAGCAAUCGCAGCCUCCUCGACCUGUACACAAUUUUU